UAGGGAAUAUUGCGCAAUGGGGGAAACCCUGACGCAGCGACGCCGCGUGAGUGAUGAAGGACUUAGGUUUGUAAAGCUCUGUUCUCAGGGAAUAAAAAAAUGAAGGUACCUGAGAAGAAAGGAUCGGCUAACUUCGUGCCAGCAGCCGCGGUAAGACGAGGGAUCCAAGCGUUGUUCGGAAUCAUUGGGCGUAAAGCGGGUGUAGGUGGCUUGUUAAGUCAGGAGUGAAAGCCCCAGGCUCAACCUGGGAAGUGCUUUUGAAACUAGCGAGCUUGAGUGUGGGAGAGGAUAGUAGAAUUCCUGGUGUAGUGGUGAAAUACGUAGAUAUCAGGAGGAAUUCCAGUGGGGGAAGCCGGCUAUCUGGCCCCAACACUGACACUCAGACCCGAAAGCGUGGGGAGUCAAACAGGAUUAGAUACCCUGGUAGUCCACGCCAUAACGAUGGACACUUGGUGUUGGAGGUAUUGACCCCUUCAGUGCCGGAGCUAACGCGUUAAGUGUCCCGCCU
rnacentral:rRNA from 1 species